rnacentral:rRNA from 1 species
UACAGAGGGUGCUAGCGUUGUUCGGAAUCAUUGGGCGUAAAGGGCGUGUAGGCGGUUUGUUAAGUCAUGUGUGAAAUCCCUCGGCUCAACCGGGGAACGACGCAUGAAACUGGCAAGCUAGAGUACCAAAGAGGGGGGUGGAAUUCCCGGUGUAGUGGUGAAAUGCGUAGAUAUCGGGAGGAACACCAGUGGCGAAGGCGACUUCCUGGCCUGUUCUUGACGCUGAGGCGCGAAAGCUAGGGGAGCAAACGGG